rnacentral:rRNA from 1 species
AGGGCCUACGGGAGGCAGCAGUGAGGAAUAUUGGUCAAUGGGCGAGAGCCUGAACCAGCCAAGUCGCGUGAGGGAGUACUGCCCUAUGGGUUGUAAACCUCUUUUGUCGGGGAGCAAAAGCCGGACGUGUCCGGCUGUGAGAGUACCCGAAGGAAAAGCAUCGGCUAACUACGUGCCAGCAGCCGCGGCAAUACGUAGGUGGCUAGCGUUAUCCGGAUUUAUUGGGCGUAAAGGGAACGCAGGCGGCCUGUUAAGUCUGAUGUGAAAGCCUUC